rnacentral:lncRNA from 1 species
CUCAGUUCCUUCCAGAAUCUUCUUUGGAUUCUCUAAGUUUUAACAGCUCUUAGAGAAAUGUGAUGUUUAGAGACACAAGAGGCUUUAGAAGACAAUCUGUGCUGCUUGCCACUCAAAGGCAUCUAGACAAUCCCAGAAGGGAAAUUUGGCCUCUGAUGCCUUUGCCCAGGAAAAGGUCAAUGUUUGGCUUACCUUCAUCAAACCUUCUCCAAUGCUGCAGGUUCUCCAUGACCCAGGGCAACAAAGGAUACCUGGGAGGAGUCCCAGUGAGGAUCCAAUAGAGAUGGUGUCACAGAAGCCAGAGACCAGCAGACCAAUGACUCACUGCAACGAACAUUUGCAAGUGAAGAUGUGUGGGCAGAGGGAUAGACUGGGACAUACUGUGGCACACUACAGCUUCCACGAUGAGGCGGCACAUCUUUCUGCGGCCUGGGACGUUCCUCCUAUCGGCUGUGAUCUUGAAACUCUUUCCCGGAGCUGCUCUGAUAUGACACUGACAGGUCUCUUCUGCACUCCAGUCAUCUGAGCCCAGAGAUCAACUGCUUUGGCAUGUUACCUCCUCCUGGCUGUCGAGGGCUGUGUUCUUCAUCCCGAAAAUGGCCCUGCUUAUUGAAAAACAAGGACCGACAAAGCACCCGAUAGCCCCGGCCUGUCUGGGCAUCAAAGAGCUCUGCUCAGAGCCACACUAGGCUCUUUAUGCAUUUGCCACUCCCUUUCAUCUGCUUCUCUUUCGCUCCCCCAUUUCUGUCCCUCUGUCCUUUUGCAAUUACAGGGAUUGUGCGGCGCUCAGGUAUCAGGUUCAGAUGCACACCUUACUUUGAAGCUGAGUAGUCUUUGAAAAUACCUAGGCAUGGAUGGUUUCCCUCUUCUCUCUGCUUUAUUUCAAGCUGUAUUAGGUUUGCUUCUUAAUGCAUUUUCCCCUAAUCUCCCAAUUAGAAUUGAUUCAUUGGCAAAAAUUUGGAAAAUACAGAGGAUUAGUGUGCGUGUUUGCACUAUACCAAGGGCACACCUUAUAUUGCUCCUCAGAUAUGACAAAAGUUAUAUCAGGAGAUAUAGCCAAAGAAAGACUCCAGUUCGAGCAACCAAGAACAAAAUACAUCAGGUCAUCCAGCGCCCUCUUCUGGCCUCCACAAGCACUACAUGUACAGAGUUCCUAGACAUGCAUGCAGGUGAAACAGACGUACACAUAAAAUAAAAAUAAACGAAUCUUAAGAAAGGGACAAUAGCUGUCCUAAUAGACGUGAGGCGUGUCUCACUGGAGAAACUGUAACACUUCCCACAGGAACAAACCUGGAUAUUUUUAUACCCUUGAGCUGACCGCCACUGAGCAGUUGGCAAGACAAAGGGAGACCCAGGAUCAAGCUGGAAGCCCAUCCUACGGAUGCUGUCAAGGUACUGGUUACCCACCAUGUACCAAAGAGGGUACUCGACGCCAGGGACAUGUGUUAAUGAAUCACUGUCCGUCCUGUCCAGCAGGGGGAGCCCGAGGACUAGAGGCGGUAACAGCCAAACCUACGCCUAAGACAACAUGGCAGGUGCUGCUGUGUUAUGGAGAACUACAAUAAAAGAAAGGAUUUGGGACCCAUUUCUAAUCGCCUGGAAGAGAGCGCAGUAAGGCAGAGACAGCACCAGGAACAAGCCGGAGGCCGUAAUUGUUCAAGGGACAGUUGUCAGUGGUGGGACAGAGAGAAGGCAACUGUUUGCACCUGGCUCCACAGGCUACCGCAGUGAAGAAUCCCGAGGAGAAAUCACCUCCUCACAUCUCCUAGGCUGGUCUCAGCUGAGAAAAGCAAGCAAGCACAAGCAGGAAGUGAUGCUGGCACACCCUGAAUGUUCACCAAGAGUACACAAAGUGUGCCAUGUAGAUACUAUGAAGUAUCAUUCAGCUGCCGAAAGAAGCAGCCCCACCACAUGCUACAAGAUGAACUGUGACAGCUCUAUGCUAAUGGAACCCCAGGAAGACCUGCAUUUUAUGGUCCAAUUUUCCCAAGUUAGUAAUAGAACCUUGUGGGUUAGAGAGACCACGCUAACAGCGCUGGCUGCUCUUCCAGAAGACCCAGGUUCGAUCCAUAGCACCCACGUGACAGCUCACAACCACCUAUAACUCCAGUUUCACGGGAUCUGACUCCCUCCCUGGCCUCCCUGGGCACUGUGUGAAUACUCAGACUCCUAGGAAGCAGAAUAGUGGUGCCCAGGGGGAGGGAGAGAAAAAACAAAACCUUUGGGUAAU